rnacentral:rRNA from 1 species
GCGCCGAAGAAGCGAGAGUGACGGUAGGCGCAGAAGAAGCACCGGCUAACUACGUGCCAGCAGCCGCGGUAAUACGUAGGGUGCGAGCGUUGUCCGGAAUUAUUGGGCGUAAAGAGCUUGUAGGCGGUUUGUCGCGUCUGCUGUGAAAACCCAGGGCUUAACCCUGGGCCUGCAGUGGGUACGGGCAGACUAGAGUGUGGUAGGGGAGACUGGAAUUCCUGGUGUAGCGGUGAAAUGCGCAGAUAUCAGGAGGAACACCGAUGGCGAAGGCAGGUCUCUGGGCCACUACUGACGCUGAGAAGCGAAAGCAUGGGGAGCGAACAGGAUUAGAUACCCUGGUAGUCCAUGCCGUAAACGUUGGGCGCUAGGUGUGGGACUCAUUCCACGAGUUCCGUGCCGCAGCUAACGCAUUAAGCGCCCCGCCUGGGGAGUACGGCCGCAAGGCUAAAACUCAAAGGAAUUGACGGGGGCCCGCACAAGCGGCGGAGCAUGCGGAUUAAUUCGAUGCAACGCGAAGAACCUUACCAAGGCUUGACAUAUACCGGAAACAUCUGGAGACAGGUGCCCCGCAAGGUCGGUAUACAGGUGGUGCAUGGUUGUCGUCAGCUCGUGUCGUGAGA